CACCUCCACGGUCUGUCCCCAUCUUCUUCCCAGGGAUGAGAAACAUGGUUCCUUAGGCUCCGAGGGAGAGGCUGCUCUUGCUGGCUCUCUGAUGUCAUCAUCACAGGUGUUCGUCUUUCCAUGUGACUCAUUUCUCCACAUACCCGCUGGUUAGGGAAGACUCUGGCUCUCACAACCGAAAGUGGUAGCCUGGGUGAAUCCUUAGGAAGGGAAAGCAGUGUAAAAGGCACGAAAGAGCCUGAAUUGCCUGGGAGUUGCCUCUGGAUCUCUCUGUCAGCUGGGUGCAGCCUUCCGGGCUCAUCUGGCCAUGGACAGACCACUGAAUGGAAC